CAAAGAAUAUUUUAUUACAGCAGUUCAACACAAUAUUAUUUUUUUUGGAAGCAUUUUAAAUUCAAGUGUUUUCAAGCCUUAACAACGGUUUGGCAGUAGUGAGAUAAUAAAAAUGAACGAAUACAGACCGGACUCUGUAGUCUUGUACUUGCAUCUGUGGAUCCUUGACUGUCUAGUGGACCCGAAAAUCCAUCUUCCGUCUUCGAUGUAACAUACAAGCGCAUUGAUUUUUAUUUUUAUAAUUUCAAAGUUUUUUUCUUUAACUUAGCAGGAGGAACAACCGCCUAUAUCAGUAAUCGUUGGCUGUCUGCUAGCAGAACUCUGAACGGCCGUUAUCGCGUACGCCAUGGUCGUUGAUCAAAAUCAAUUUCUCCCUCCCCCGGAUACCAAUGUGGAGUUUCGGCGCUGAGCAACCGCAGCGCUGCGCAACUGAGUGGCAACAUAUUUAUAUUAUACUAUAGUACAGUGUACCUACUUACUUUGCUUUUCACAAAAUUCACUAACUUCAUUGCUAGCUUCAAAACAUAAGCUAAUUCUUCUGGUAACGUUUUUGUAGCUAUUAGCUAACGCUUGCCGAUAAAUAACCCAGUGUGUCGUUAAAGUUUUUUUUUUUUUUUAUUUAAGAAAAUUUACAAUCUAUAUACAAUUUAUAUAAUAAGUAAAUAUGAUGAACAAUAUUACAGGACAUGAAAAUCUUGAGGGAAGGGAGUGUCCAGUGACACUACUUCCAAUUUAAACUUAGGGGUGAGGUAACUUUAUAAUAAGUAGCACUAGGCAUUUUUUAAUAAAUCACGCGGCCAUUUGCGUUUGAGGCGACGAGAGGGGUUAUCAGGAAUUGUACAAGAAGAAAGUUUAGAUAUGAGUGGGAUUGGAUGGUUAAAGGUAUUUUUAUGAAAUUUGUUAUAAUGAUAAGAGGCAAGUGUGGAUAUUGAUGGUAUGUUGAGAUCAUGAUGUAGGGUGUGGUUGCUGACGUACCAGGGAGCAUUAGAGAGGACACGCAGAGAUAUUGAUUUGAACGCUUGGAAUUUGAUUAGGUUUGAGUUUUUAGUGGUACCUCACAGUUGAAUUCCGUAAGUCAUAACUGGACUGAAUAUUUAUUUAUAUAUUAGUGUUUUAUUAUUUAAAAAGAUUUUGGAUCUAAGAAGUGGUCUUAAUUUGUGAAGCCUGGUAUUAAGUGAAGUUCUUUUAGCUUUGAUGUGAUUAGUCCAAGUUAGUAUUUUGUCGAGAAGGAGUCCUAGGUAUUUAACGGAAUCGAUAAUGGGAAUUGUUUGGUUAUUUAUGUAAACUGGAGGAAUUGUUGUAGGCCUGAGGGUAAAAGUGAUGUGAGUGGAUUUAUUUUCAUUAAUUUUAAUUUUCCAUAAGCUGAACCAAUCUUGUAGUUGGGUUAGGUGGUCUUGGAGGUUGUUUGUAGUGGUGGCUAUUUCGGAGUUGGUUGAGAUUAUGCCUGUGUCAUCGGCGAACGUAGCUAGAGUAAUGUUAAUAGAUUGAGGUAGAUCUGCUGUAUAUAUAUUAUAGAGAGUCAGGGAAAGAAUACUGCCUUGAGAGACGCCUGCUUUAAUAGGAUGUGGGUCAGAAGUUUCGUCUUCACAUCUUACUGAAAAAGUACGGUUUGAUAGGAAAGAUUUGAGUAAGAGGAAUAACG